GACGAACGCUGGCGGCGUGCUUAACACAUGCAAGUCGAGCGGUAAGGCCCUUUCGGGGGUACACGAGCGGCGAACGGGUGAGUAACACGUGGGUGACCUGCCCUUAGCUCUGGGAUAAGCCUGGGAAACUGGGUCUAAUACCGGAUAUGACUCCAUGACGCAUGUUGUGGGGUGGAAAGCCUUGUGCGGCUAGGGAUGGGCCCGCGGCCUAUCAGCUUGUUGGUGGGGUGAUGGCCUACCAAGGCGACGACGGGUAGCCGGCCUGAGAGGGCGACCGGCCACACUGGGACUGAGACACGGCCCAGACUCCUACGGGAGGCAGCAGUGGGGAAUAUUGCGCAAUGGGCGGAAGCCUGACGCAGCGACGCCGCGGUGGGGA
rnacentral:rRNA from 1 species